rnacentral:lncRNA from 1 species
CAAUAGCGACAUAAAAAUAAAUGGUUCUUUCAUGCACUUCCAAUGUGACAUAUUAUAUACAACUAGUAUCACAGGCUAUAUGCUGUAGGAAGUACUCAAAUUGUCAAAAGGAUUAAAUCAUCUGUUGCUAGACCAAACCGAAUAUUAUGUGGGUCACUUUCAAAGUGUGGUUGCUUUGCAUCAAAGUCUUUCCACAUUACGGAGUCAACCGGGUGGCUAAGUAUGUUCUCUUUCGGAAUCCGCUGCUCAUGAUGCCAUCUCAUUUCUUCAGCUAUCUUUGUGGACAAAUACAACCUUUGAAGUCUUGGAAUCAAUGAAAAAUAUCUCAAAACCUUUUGAGGUAUCUUCUUUCCUUUUUUGUUAUCAAUUUUGUACCUAAGCUCACCGCAUUUUGGACAUUCAAUUGCCUAUUUAUGAUCCUUAUAAAAUAAUAUAUAGUCAUUUUUGCAGGCAUGUAUAAAAAUAUAGCC